rnacentral:rRNA from 1 species
GAUGAACGCUGGCGGCGUGCCUAAUACAUGCAAGUCGAGCGAACAGACGAGGAGCUUGCGCCUCUGACGUUAGCGGCGGACGGGUGAGUAACACGUGGAUAACCUACCUAUAAGACUGGGAUAACUUCGGGAAACCGGAGCUAAUAGCGGAGAAUAUAUUGCACCGCAUGGUUCAAUAGUGAAAGACGGUUUUGCGGUCACUUAUAGAGGGAUCCGGGCCGUAUUAGCUAGUUGGUAAGGUAACGGCUUAUCAAGGCAAGGAUGCGUAGCCGACCGGAGAGAGUGAUCGGCCACACUGGAACUGAGCCGCGGUCCAGACUCCUACGGGAGGCAGCAGUAGGGAAUCUUCCGCAAUGGGCGAAAGCAUGACGGAGCAACGCCGCGUGAGUGAUGAAGAUCUUCGGAUCGUAAAACUCUGUUAUUAGGGAAGAACAAAUGUGUAAGUAACUAUGCACGUCUUGACGGUACCGAGUCAGAAAGCCACGGCUAACUACGUG